UUAUUGGGCGUAAAGGGCUCGCAGGCGGUUUCUUAAGUCUGAUGUGAAAGCCCCCGGCUCAACCGGGGAGGGUCAUUGGAAACUGGGAAACUUGAGUGCAGAAGAGGAGAGUGGAAUUCCACGUGUAGCGGUGAAAUGCGUAGAGAUGUGGAGGAACACCAGUGGCGAAGGCGACUCUCUGGUCUGUAACUGACGCUGAGGAGCGAAAGCGUGGGGAGCGAACAGGAUUAGAUACCCUGGUAGUCCACGCCGUAAACGAUGAGUGCUAAGUGUUAGGGGGUUUCCGCCCCUUAGUGCUGCAGCUAACGCAUUAAGCACUCCGCCUGGGGAGUACGGUCGCAAGACUGAAACUCAAAGGAAUUGACGGGGGCCCGCACAAGCGGUGGAGCAUGUGGUUUAAUUCGAAGCAACGCGAAGAACCUUACCAGGUCUUGACAUCCUCUGACAACCCUAGAGAUAGGGCUUUCCCUUCGGGGACAGAGUGACAGGUGGUGCAUGGUUGUCGUCAGCUCGUGUCGUGAGAUGUUGGGUUAAGUCCCGCAACGAGCGCAACCCUUGAUCUUAGUUGCCAGCAUUCAGUUGGGCACUCUAAGGUGACUGCCGGUGACAAACCGGAGGAAGGUGGGGAUGACGUCAAAUCAUCAUGCCCCUUAUGACCUGGGCUACACACGUGCUACAAUGGACAGAACAAAGGGCUGCGAGAC
rnacentral:rRNA from 1 species